ensembl:lncRNA
CUGAUACUACUAAAAUAGUCAGGAAGGGUUUAAUUUAGGACUAUUUUCUGGGAAGUCUCGGUGCCGGAGUUUGCGACUACAGACAAUUAUAAUAAUAUAGUUAUUGGCGGGGAAACUCAGUCAUUUCAAUAGCGGGACACUAAGGUUCGUAUCUCAGCUUUGACACCGAUAGACUAAAAUAGAUUUUAGAUGUUAAUUCAUCUAUUUGUAUGUUUUGCCUGGAAAAAUACGGUCGCUAGUGUUUGUAUAAGAUAUGAACUGAAUGUUUUUAAUGUGUUGUUUAGGUGGAAUUGAGAGAAGAAUUCAUUCUAAAUAAUGGCGAGACAAUUUCGAUAUAAUACGGUUCCCCUUAAAUCAAGACUUCCUCCCUUUACAGUGACCGGAGGAGAUUAUUACUGUUUGGCCCGGUACAGUACUCUUGGGAAAUAUGUAGGGGAAGUUAGUACCUGCAAUUGGACAGAGAAUAUUACCACUGAUGAGACCAUGUCUAAUUUGACAGGCUGGUUGAACUCUGGGGAUUUCAAUAAGGUAAAGUGGGCCAGGGCUAACAUCUGGAGGUUGUGUGGGGGAAUAAUGGACAGGAUUAUGCUCCCUUGUACAUUUGAGAAUGCCUUUCACACUCAUUCAACACCAAGACAUGAAGUUGGCCAAACGGGAGAAAAUAAGUACUCCAUCUGGUUCUUUUAACCAGAGAGUAGAUUUUGAUAACAUUGGGGUUCUACGGGGGAUACCAGACGAGUUCAAAGCAAGAAAUCAGAUCGUAGCAGGAUUAGAGUUAAGUAUUUUCUAGUGGUCCACACUCAAAUAAGAAUGUGAACUGGAUCAAUUAUAGUUAGGAUAAUCCACAGCGCUCCGUCAAUUAUACCAGAGAUGUAAUGAAUGAAUUGGCAGAAUAUAAUUCAUCUUGGAUAAGUUUGUUGGCUGGAAAGGGUGAGAGUGGGUGUAGAUGGUUUGUUCCUCGAUGGCACAGCUCCGGGCGAAUCAGUGACCAAAGCCUCAGCUGGUUUUACCACCCUGGCUCACGGUUUGGCAGAAAACUCUGGGGUGGAUAUUUCUUUGACUAAUUGGUUUGAUAGUAUGUUUGGAAAAUGGAAAACUGUUAUGAUCCCUGUAUUAUGGGUUACCUUCAUCGGUGUGGCUGUUUUAGUUUUAUGUGGCUGUUGUCUAAUUCCCUGUGUACGAGGCCUUAUUUCCAGGACUCUGGAGAAAUUGAUGACACAACAGAUGGUGAGGUACGGGCCGAUUCCAAGUUCUGACCCGUGGAGUGAUGAAUGCAUGUCUACAGAACAAGUAGACUAAUCUGGAUUCUUCAUAUGCGAGGAAUUUAUGUUUUUAUUUAGAGCAUUUUGAUAUUUAGAGAUGUUAGGUUGUAUCUUGUUUCGAUGAAGAUUGUAACAAAAAUUCUGAUGAGAAGAGUUAUGAUUCUGAUGUUGGCCUAAAAACAGUCAGUGUGAAUGCAAGUAUUGGGUUAUGUUUGGGUGAUAUUUUGAUAACAAGAAAUAUUUCUAAUAAAAAUAGAAGUAUGCUUUUUAAUAUUUUAAUAAAACUAGAUGUGUGAUUGGAUGUAUAAUAUUUAAUCUUAGGGUGGAUAUGUUAAGGGAUUUUUUAUCAAUAAUUACUAAUUAUGUAUACAUUUCAAUCAGGACUGACUAAUCAGAAUACUAUUAUGUUACUGUAUAGAUGUAUGAAUUUUCUUUUAAUCCUAGUACUGAAUAUAAUGUGUGUAAUUAUAAUCAAGAAGUAGAACAAUGACUGUCUGUUCCUUGGUAGAAAUGAAUGAAUUUAUCGUCAGACUGGCUAGAAUGCUUAUCUACACAGGCAGACCUUGGCUCGGGUCAUAAAUUAUCUAAGUUUGGGGGAGACGGUGUGGGAAGUCUUGAGAACUAUACAGCCAUUGUACUGGAGUGGAGAUGAGAUGGGGUAGUACGAAAACUAAUGACGACAUUUUCAGUUUAUAACCUGAGGUAAACUGUAUCAUGUUCAGUACUCUCAAG